rnacentral:tRNA from 1 species
GAGGGUGUAGCUCAGUGGUAGAGUGCACGCUUAGCAUGCACGAGGUUCAGGGUUCAAUCCCCAGUACCUCCA